AGCUUUGCUUUUCGCAGUUGGUCCAGUUUUGGAGGGGUGGGGGUGGGAAAGGGGGCCCGACAAGCGCGCGGGCGGGCGAUUCUCAGCCCUCCAAAUGCUAGGGACCCUUCGAUUAUCCGUGCUGCCCCGAGAAACUCCUAGGCUAAUAGUCUGAGGGAGCAGAUAAAGCCCUUUCUUCUCCCGGGAAAGUGCAGCGGAGCGCGGUGAGGACCAGCUCAGUGGACUCGGCAGAGGCGGGAGCUGUCCUUAUCAAUUCUAGCUCAUUUCCCUCACCCCGGCCCUGCCUGCUUCCCUGCUUCGCAAACUGUUGGCUUCCCCGUCACCACUCAGUUUUACUAAUUUUCCAGAGACGCCUUUAAACCUGCCAGGAGAAUCCCUCCAGCUCCCUCACCCCGACCUCUUCUCCCCCCUACCCCCCUCCCCCGCAUUUCAAGGAGCAGAAGUUCACGCGUGUAUCUCUCCUUCCCUUGUGGGGCGGCACCGGGGAAUAUGAGGAGGGAGGAAGUGGGGCCACUUAAGGGUAUUUAGAGGGAGAGCCGGGAGGCCCAGAGGGAUUCAUGUGGACGGUACUCCCUCCCCGGCACCAGGCUCAGUGGCUUUAACUCCAGUAACUACCAGAAGUUCAAGUUAACUGGCAGGUGUUGAGGGGGGGGGGCUGUCCAAGGGGGAGGGGAGCGCAGUUCGGUGCGGGGUCUCUGCACCCCACACAGCCUCGCCACCGGAAACCGCAGCUUCCUUCAGAGCCCCUCCGUACAGCCCCCAGCGGCCCCCCACUCGGGCACCCCCACUCCCCUGGCCCUGGAACUACUUCUGUAAAAACUCUGAGCCGCCCGUGUCUAGGCAGAGGAGGGCAGGAUGGGGGGAGGCGAGGCAAAAUCGAUACGCCAGGUCCUUAACCUGUAAUUGCACCUUCUAGGGCUGAGCAGAAAGGGACCCUCUGCCCACAUCCCGCCCGCGCGCCCGCCGGCCGGGGAGAGCUGCCGCCGCCGCCGCCCAGCUCAGAGGGAUCCCGCCGGACCUGCCCCUUCCACUGCGGCUCACUCUGCCCUCCCUGGCGCCAGUCCUGGAUCGCCGGCUUCCUAUUUACACCGGACUGGGCUCCACUCGACUCACUUUAUCAUCCCAUUCCAGGCUGGCGACUUCGCUGCUGAGCUGAAACUGCUAAUUUCUGUGACCAGCUUUUUUCUUAGCUGUGAUCUGGAUGAAUGAGUAGCUGUCUCACAGAGAUGACAAAAAUAAACUCUAAUCCCCCCCAAAAUUUCCACUACAUCUUUCUCAUGCAUAGAUUUAUGAUCUUCAAGCGCUCUGUGCAAUAUGCAAACUUUUUUUGUGUCUGUAUAUGUGCUGUUGUUUCCAGAUUUCACUACAUUGGUAUGCUGCUUUUCCCUUUCACUCCCCCCUCCCCCCACGCUAUGAAAUGCAGAAACCGUCUGAUCUCCAAGUAUGCCAGGAUGCCACUUUAUAGUGUCUUGGUAUUUGGGGGUUUGAGUCUGAUUUGGGAGUCAGGAGCCCUGGCCUAAGAGGUGAGUGGCUGAGUGUACAACCCGGGGUGGGGGCAGUGGAGCUGGUGGAAUAGAAGGCAGCCCUUUGCUUUACUUUUGUUUCCCUGCCCUAUUCAAGCUUUAUGAUCUUGUUGGAAAACAUAUUUUCUCCAUCAUUUUAUCCGGUUAUACCAUCGUCUCUGAACUUCUCUGUCAGUUCUUCCACAAUAAGGGUUCAGAAGUAACAUUUCUGGGGGAGGAAGAUUAUCCUUUUGUCAGAUUUGUCUUUCAAUUAGGAGUCUCUGAUUUGCAGGAGCUAGAAUCAAGUGCUAGGAAAGUCAGCUGCAAUCUCAUAAAUGUAACCUUUAAACUUAGGAGCUCAUCUGAUAUAUAAGGUCGGCUGCAGAGAGCUCACAUUUUUGACCCUGCUUAGCAUGCAAAAUGAACCCCAGCAUGACUCUGGAAUUUGAGCUAUACCAGAGAUUCAUGUGCAUUUUGGUAGAGGACAUGUUCUCUAGACUUAUCUCAUGAUGUAUUGCGCCCUUACAUUUAUAGCCCUGCAUUUUGGUUGUCAAUGUGGGCUGGAGGUGUCCAAGAAAGAAAAAAAAAAAAAAAAAAAAAAAAAAA